CUGACGAGUGGCGGACGGGUGAGUAAUGUCUGGGAAACUGCCUGAUGGAGGGGGAUAACUACUGGAAACGGUAGCUAAUACCGCAUAACGUCGCAAGACCAAAGAGGGGGACCUUCGGGCCUCUUGCCAUCGGAUGUGCCCAGAUGGGAUUAGCUAGUAGGUGGGGUAACGGCUCACCUAGGCGACGAUCCCUAGCUGGUCUGAGAGGAUGACCAGCCACACUGGAACUGAGACACGGUCCAGACUCCUACGGGAGGCAGCAGUGGGGAAUAUUGCACAAUGGGCGCAAGCCUGAUGCAGCCAUGCCGCGUGUAUGAAGAAGGCCUUCGGGUUGUAAAGUACUUUCAGCGGGGAGGAAGGGAGUAAAGUUAAUACCUUUGCUCAUUGACGUUACCCGCAGAAGAAGCACCGGCUAACUCCGUGCCAGCAGCCGCGGUAAUACGGAGGGUGCAAGCGUUAAUCGGAAUUACUGGGCGUAAAGCGCACGCAGGCGGUUUGUUAAGUCAGAUGUGAAAUCCCCGGGCUCAACCUGGGAACUGCAUCUGAUACUGGCAAGCUUGAGUCUCGUAGAGGGGGGUAGAAUUCC
rnacentral:rRNA from 1 species